UGGGGAAUUUUGGACAAUGGGGGCAACCCUGAUCCAGCCAUGCCGCGUGUAUGAAGAAGGCCUUCGGGUUGUAAAGUACUUUUGUUAGGGAAGAAAAGGGAAGUGCUAAUACCACUUUUUGCUGACGGUACCUAAAGAAUAAGCACCGGCUAACUACGUGCCAGCAGCCGCGGUAAUACGUAGGGUGCGAGCGUUAAUCGGAAUUACUGGGCGUAAAGCGAGCGCAGACGGUUAUUUAAGCAGGAUGUGAAAUCCCCGGGCUUAACCUGGGAACUGCGUUCUGAACUGGAUAGCUAGAGUGUGUCAGAGGGGGGUAGAAUUCCACGUGUAGCAGUGAAAUGCGUAGAGAUGUGGAGGAAUACCGAUGGCGAAGGCAGCCCCCUGGGAUAACACUGACGUUCAUGCUCGAAAGCGUGGGUAGCAAACA
rnacentral:rRNA from 2 species